rnacentral:sRNA from 1 species
UGACGACGUUGCUAACACGAAGUCUAG